CGCGGUGAAUACGUUCCCGGACCUUGUACACACCGCCCGUCAAGCCAUGGAAGCUGGGUGUACCUAAAGUCGGUAACCGCAAGGAGCCGCCUAGGGUAAAACUAGUAACUGGGGGCU
rnacentral:rRNA from 1 species